GAUGAACGCUAGCUCCAGGCUUAACACAUGCAAGUCGCGGGGCAGCAUGGGGGUUGCUUGCCAUCCCCGAUGGCGACCGGCGCACGGGUGAGUAACGCGUAUCCAACCUGCCCUUCACCACGGGAUAACCCGGCGAAAGUCGGACUAAUACCGUAUGUUGUCCAUUGACGGCCUCCGAUUUGGACGAAAGGCUUGGCGGUGAGGGAUGGGGAUGCGUCCGAUUAGCCAGACGGCGGGGUAACGGCCCACCGUGGCUACGAUCGGUAGGGGUUCUGAGAGGAAGGUCCCCCACACUGGAACUGAGACACGGUCCAGACUCCUACGGGAGGCAGCAGUGAGGAAUAUUGGUCAAUGGGCGUAAGCCUGAACCAGCCAAGUAGCGUGCAGGAUGACGGCCCUAUGGGUUGUAAACUGCUUUUAUGCGGGGAUAAAGUGGCCCACGUGUGGGCUUUUGCAGGUACCGCAUGAAUAAGGACCGGCUAAUUCCGUG
rnacentral:rRNA from 1 species